rnacentral:rRNA from 1 species
UUGGGGUCCAGACUCCUACGGGAGGCAGCAGUGGGGAAUUUUGGACAAUGGGCGCAAGCCUGAUCCAGCCAUGCCGCGUGAGUGAAGAAGGCCUUCGGGUUGUAAAGCUCUUUCGGUGAAGACGAAACGGUUAGCGCUAAUAACGCUGACUAAUGACGGUACUCACAGAAGAAGCACCGGCUAACUACGUGCCAGCAGCCGCGGUAAUACGUAGGGUGCAGGCGUUAAUCGGAAUUACUGGGCGUAAAGCGUGCGCAGGCUGUUUGCUAAGACAGGUGUGAAAUCCCCGGGCUUAACCUGGGAAUUGCGCUUGUAACUGGCAAGCUAGAGUGUGGCAGAGGGGGGUGGAAUUCCACGUGUAGCAGUGAAAUGCGUAGAUAUGUGGAGGAACACCGAUGGCGAAGGCAGCCCCCUGGGUUAACACUGACUCUCAUGCACGAAAGCGUGGGGAGCAAACAGGAUUAGAUACCCUGGUAGUCCACGCCCUAAACUAUGUCAACUAGUUGUCGGGGAAGAAAUUCCUUGGUAACGAAGCUAACGCGUGAAGUUGACCGCCUGGGGAGUACGGCCGCAAGGUUAAAACUCAAAGGAAUUGACGGGGACCCGCACAAGCGGUGGAUUAUGUGGAUUAAUUCGAUGCAACGCGAAAAACCUUACCUACCCUUGACAUGCUAGGAAGCCCGCAGAGAUGUGGGUGUGCCCGAAAGGGAACCUAGACACAGGUGCUGCAUGGCUGUCGUCAGCUCGUGUCGUGAGAUGUUGGGUUAAGUCCCGCAACGAGCGCAACCCUUGCCAUUAGUUGCUACAUUCAGUUGGGCACUCUAAUGGGACCGCCGGUGACAAACCGGAGGAAGGUGGGGAUGACGUCAAGACCUCAUGGCCCUUAUGGGUAGGGCUUCACACGUAAUACAAUGGUCGGUACAGAGGGCUGCCAAUCCGCAAGGGGGAGCUAAUCCCAGAAAGCCGAUCGUAGUCCGGAUUGUAGUCUGCAACUCGACUGCAUGAAGCCGGAAUCGCUAGUAAUCGCGGAUCAGCAUGUCGCGGUGAAUACGUUCCCGGGUCUUGUACACACCGCCCGUCACACCAUGGGAGUGGGUUCCACCAGAAGUAGUUAGCCUAACCGCAAGGAGGGCGAUUACCACGGUGAGAUUCAUGACUGGGGUGAAGUCGUAACAAGGUAGCCGUAUCGGUAGGUGCGGCUG